rnacentral:rRNA from 1 species
UCCCGGCGGUCCAAGUCGUAGCCACAAUUAUUGGGUCUAAAACAUCCGUAGCUUGCUUGACAAGUCUUUUGUGAAAUCUGACAUCUUAAGUGUCAGGCGUGCAAAAGAUACUGUCGAGCUCGAGGCUGGGGGACGCAAGAAGUACAUUUGAGGUAGUGGUAAAAUACGUUGAUCUCAGGUGGACUAACAACAGCGAAGGCAUCUUGCGAUAACAGUUCUGACAGUGAGGGAUGAAGGCUAGGGGCGCAAAAGG